AUUGAACGCUGGCGGCAGGCUUAACACAUGCAAGUCGAGCGGAUGAAGGGAGCUUGCUCCUGGAUUCAGCGGCGGACGGGUGAGUAAUGCCUAGGAAUCUGCCUGGUAGUGGGGGAUAACGUCCGGAAACGGGCGCUAAUACCGCAUACGUCCUGAGGGAGAAAGUGGGGGAUCUUCGGACCUCACGCUAUCAGAUGAGCCUAGGUCGGAUUAGCUAGUUGGUGGGGUAAAGGCCUACCAAGGCGACGAUCCGUAACUGGUCUGAGAGGAUGAUCAGCCACACUGGAACUGAGACACGGUCCAGACUCCUACGGGAGGCAGCAGUGGGGAAUAUUGGACAAUGGGCGAAAGCCUGAUCCAGCCAUGCCGCGUGUGUGAAGAAGGUCUUCGGAUUGUAAAGCACUUUAAGUUGGGAGGAAGGGCAGUAAGUUAAUACCUUGCUGUUUUGACGUUACCAACAGAAUAAGCACCGGCUAACUUCGUG
rnacentral:rRNA from 1 species